UACAGAGGUGCCGAGCGUUAGGCGGAAUCACUGGGCUUAAAGCGCGUGUAGGCGGCCGUACAGGUCAGCUGUGAAAACUCGAGGCUCAACCUCGAGACGUCGGUUGAAACCGUACGGCUAGAGUCCGGAAGAGGAGAGUGGAAUUCCCGGUGUAGCGGUGAAAUGCGCAGAUAUCGGGAGGAACACCGGUGGCGAAGGCGGGUCUCUGGGCAAUAACUGACGCUGAGGAGCGAAAGCGUGGGGAGCGAACAGG
rnacentral:rRNA from 1 species